rnacentral:rRNA from 1 species
CCUACGGGAGGCAGCAGUGGGGAAUAUUGCACAAUGGGGGAAACCCUGAUGCAGCGACGCCGCGUGAGUGAAGAAGUCUCUCGGUAUGUAAAGCUCUAUCAGCAGGGAAGAAAAUGACGGUACCUGAUUAAGAAGCCCCGGCGAAAUACGUGACAGCAGACGCGGUAAUACGUAGGGGGCAAGCGUUAUCCGGAUUUACUGGGUGUAAAGGGAGCGUAGGCGGCUGAACAAGUCUGGUGUGAAAUGCCGGGGCUUAACCCCGGAACUGCUUUGGAAACUGUGCAGCUAGAGUGCAGGAGAGGUAAGUGGAAUUCCUAGUGUAGCGGUGAAAUGCGUAGAUAUGAGGAGGAACACCGAUGGCGAAGGCGGCUUACUGGACUGUAACUGACGUUGAGGCUCGAAAGCGUGGGGAGCAAACAGGAUUAGAUACCCGAGUAGUC